rnacentral:rRNA from 1 species
UGCAGUCGAACGAUGACCUCCAGCUUGCUGGGGUGAUUAGUGGCGAACGGGUGAGUAACACGUGAGUAACCUGCCCUUAACUCUGGGAUAAGCCUGGGAAACUGGGUCUAAUACCGGAUAUGACUCCUCAUCGCAUGGUGGGGGGUGGAAAGCUUUUUGKGGUUUUGGAUGGACUCSCGGCCUAUCAGCUUGUUGGUGAGGUAAUGGCUCMCCAAGGCGACSACGGGUAGCCGGCCUGARAGGGUGACCGGCCACACUGGGACUGARACACGGCCCARACUCCUACGGGAGGCAGCAGUGGGGAAUAUUGCACAAUGGGCGCAAGCCUGAUGCAGCGACGCCGCGUGAGGGAUGACGGCCUUCGGGUUGUAAACCUCUUUCAGUAGGGAAGAAGCSAAAGUGACGGUACCUGCAGAAGAAGCGCCGGCUAACUACGUGCCAGCAGCCGCGGUAAUACGUAGGGCGCAAGCGUUAUCCGGAAUUAUUGGGCGUAAAGARCUCGUARGCGGUUUGUCGCGUCUGCCGUGAAAGUCCGGGGCUCAACUCCGGAUCUGCGGUGGGUACGGGCAGACUAGARUGAUGUAGGGGAGACUGGAAUUCCUGGUGUAGCGGUGAAAUGCGCAGAUAUCAGGAGGAACACCGAUGGCSAARGCAGGUCUCUGGGCAUUAACUGACGCUGARGARCSAAAGCMUGGGGARCSAACMGGAUUAGAUACCCUGGUARUCCAUGCCGUAAACGUUGGGCACUAGGUGUGGGGGACAUUCCACGUUUUCCGCGCCGUAGCUAACGCAUUAAGUGCCCCGCCUGGGGAGUACGGCCGCAAGGCUAAAACUCAAAGGAAUUGACGGGGGCCCGCACAAGCGGCGGAGCAUGCGGAUUAAUUCGAUGCAACGCGAAGAACCUUACCAAGGCUUGACAUGGGCCGGACCGGGCUGGAAACAGUCCUUCCCCUUUGGGGCCGGUUCACAGGUGGUGCAUGGUUGUCGUCAGCUCGUGUCGUGAGAUGUUGGGUUAAGUCCCGCAACGAGCGCAACCCUCGUUCCUGUUGCCAGCGCGUAAUGGNGGGACUCAUGGGAGACUGCCGGGUCACUCGGAGGAAGGUGGGGACAANUCAAUCAUCUGCCCCU